AAGAAAAGGCAAAACAACUGUUCUUGAAUGUAACAGGGGUAUAACUUCAUAAUCGAAAUGUAAACCAAAACCACAUUCAAACAGCAUGUUUUGGCAUGUAAGGUCAGUAAUAUCAUACUGGCCAAAAACCAA